UGCCCUUCUCCCACAAAUAUCUUAAAAAACUAAACAAAACAAACUAAAAAGUCUGCCAGCUCUGGAGCCUGAGGGAUGAGUCCUGAGGGAUGGAGCUGUGGCUAAAAGUGCCUAUUCUUGCAAGAGUGAGACAGAUCCCUGAUGCUGCUCAUAUAUGCGAGGCAUGGACUCAACAGCUCUGUUCUCUGGGACCUCCAGCAGUACAGCAGAGUGUGCAAUUUCCAGCACAAAGUCAGAUUCUCCUUGAAGUUUGCCUCACCUCCAUCUGAACUGCUGUGACCCAGGAAAAAUGAAGUUUCUGCGCUGGAACCAUGGAACUUUAGAUCUGCUUCUGUCAGACUUUUACUCAUAUUCUGGCUGUUCACAG